UACGUAGGGGGCUAGCGUUGUUCGGAAUUACUGGGCGUAAAGCGCACGUAGGCGGACUGUUAAGUCGGGGGUGAAAUCCUGGGGCUCAACCUCAGAAUUGCCUCCGAUACUGGCAGUCUCGAGUGCGGGAGAGGUGAGUGGAAUUCCCAGUGUAGAGGUGAAAUUCGUAGAUAUUAGGAAGAACACCAGUGGCGAAGGCGGCUCACUGGCCCGUAACUGACGCUGAGGUGCGAAAGCGUGGGGAGCAAACAGG
rnacentral:rRNA from 1 species